rnacentral:rRNA from 1 species
UACGGGGGGAGCAAGCGUUGUUCGGAAUUACUGGGCGUAAAGCGCGCGCAGGCGGCCCUUUAAGUCUACCCGUGAAAUGCCGGAGCUCAACUCCGUGCACGCCGGGGGAUACUGGAGGGCUGGAGACGAGUAGAGGCAAGCGGAAUUCCGGGUGUAGCGGUGGAAUGCGUAGAGAUCCGGAAGAACACCGGAGGCGAAGGCGGCUUGCUGGGCUUGGUCUGACGCUGAGGCGCGAAAGCGUGGGGAGCGAACAGG